rnacentral:misc_RNA from 1 species
AAGUCGUAACAAGGUUUCCGUAGGUGAACCUGCGGAAGGAUCAUUAACACGUAUCCACGUCACCUGUUGACAUACACCAAACCUAUUGUUUAUAUAGUAUUUGGAACUGGUCCGCGAUGGCAACUCGUUUGCAUCGUGUUACUGGAACCGGUACUCGUGCACUAUUUUUUUUUUCCCAUUUCCCCUAUGAACUACGCCUUGACUCAAUUGUAGUAGCUGGUCUUCGUGACUGUCUAGUACACGUUUGUUUUCUGUUUUCUCGGAAACGGAUUUCAAAUGCCACCUUGAAUGGACUGAUGCAAGCAUCUGAUAGGUGAUUGAUUUCAUCUGUUAGAAUGUGAUGACAUUUGUAUAUACUAAUAUAUGAUUGAAUCACAACUCUUAGCAAUGGAUACCUAGGUUCUC